UCAAAACUGAGUGAGUGCUCCCUCCCAAACUCAAAGUAAAGAGAGUCUGCCUGUGUGAGCUGUGGGAGGAGAUGUUCCACUCAUCAUGCAUUGCUUUUCUCUUUGUUUUCCAGACGAAAAUGCUGACGAAGUGGGUGAGUCUACAUUCACUAAAGCAAAGAAAUAUGGGGUCUCCCAUGGGAUGACAAGCUGUCCACAUCAUCAUUUGGUGCUUCUCUGUAUUUUUUUUUUUUUUUGCAGAGGAUUGCAAUUUAGAGCUGAAGAAAGACAGUGAAGAGAUGGUGAAGGAAUUUGGGGUCUUCCCAUGGGAUCAGCCAUGGGAAUAUCAUCUGAUCCUUCUCAUCAUGCAUUUCAUAUUUGUUCCUUUUGCAGAGAAACUGGCUAGAGAACUGGAGAUACAGCUUGCAGUGAUUUGGAUAUUCGAUGCAAAGUUAUAUAAACUAGCUGCCAAACUGGGUGAGUCCCCCCUCCCAAAUUAAAUAAAAAAGGGGGUCUGCCUGUGUGAGCUGUGGGAUGAGAUGUUCCUCCCGUCAUGUGCUGCUUUUCUCUUCCUUUUCCAGAACAACAAACUAAAGAAUUGGACAAACAGCAUUCACAGUUCCACAGACACUUUCAGCGUAUGGGUGAGUCUCUCCCCCCAAAUUAAAAACGUUGGGGUCUUCCUAUGGGAGCUGUGGGAUGAGAUGUUCCUCUCAUCACACACUCUUUCUGCUUUUCCUUUGCAGAUUUAAGUGCUGUAAACCAGAAGAAACUGGUUACAAAAUUGGGUGAGUCCAACCUCCCAAAUUCAAUAAAAAGUAGUCCGACUUUGUGGGAUGAGAUGUUCCUCUCAUCAUGUGCUGCUUUCCUUUUACUUCUCCAGAGGAACACUGUAAUCAGAUGGAGAGAAGGAAUGUAAAGUCGGGUGAGUCUUCUUCCCCAACCAUAGAUUCAGGGACUUCCACAGGAUCAGCCAUGGGAUGAUAACCUGAACCUUAUCAUGUGUUUCUUAUUUGUUCCUUUUGCAGAGGCAGCAGCUGUAAAAGUGGGUGAGUCCUCCCUCCCAAAUUAAAUACAAAAGGGGAUCUGCCUGUGUGAGCUGUGGGAUGAGAUGUUCCUCUCAUCACACAUUGUUUUUCUUUUCCAGGGCAACAAGCUAAAGAAUCAGGUGAGUCUUCUUCCCCGUCCCAGAGGACUAUGGGUUUCCCAUGGGAUGACAAGCUGUGCCACCUCCUCAUGAGGUGCUUCUUCUUUCUUUUUUGCAGAGAAACAGAAAUCGGAGCUGAGUAAGUUGCAGUCACUGAAGUGAGGGAAUUGGGGGUCCUUUCAAGGGACUGCGUAUGGGAUGAAAAAUCCCCUCUGACCAUGCACUGCUUUUCUCCUCCUUUGCCAGAGGAGCGCCAUGAGGAGAUGGGUGAGUCUCCCCUCCCAUAUUAAAAUCGUUGGGGUCUUCCUGUGUGAGCUGUGGGAUGAGAUAUUCCUCUCAUCGUGCGGUGCUUUUCUCUCUUUCCCAGCAGAACAAACUGAAGCGUGGGUGAGUCUUUGUCCCAAACCAAAGGAAUAUGGGGCAAUCCAUGAGAUGACAAGCUGUCCCAUCUCAUCGUGCAUUGCUCUUCUAUUCCUUUUUUCCAGUGGUAGAUACUGAAGAAUCAGAAAAACCAUCUGAAGAAUUGGAUUGAGAGAUGAACUGCGCCUCACAGUAACCACAGGAGUUAAGCUUCAUACAUCAAUAACUACACAGCAUAAAAAACCACGAUUCCACAAACAGAGCAAGGAAAUCCACAGCGAGAACAAGAGGAGCCAGUGUUUGUGUUGAGUGAGAACACUGCAGUUCUGUGAGCCAAAGCUGCCUGAGGGAUCGCCGAACUGAGGGUGUGUGACCUCCAACUCAAAGCCAAUUGGAAGAAAGAAACCAUAGAAAGGAAAAAAAGGGGAGGAAGACAGAGAUCCUGGAAGAGAUAUGGGCAUUUGGGGAAAUAGUGUGACCAUGUAUCAGGCUUUGUGGACAUCUAAUGAGUAUGUAAUGCUUAUGGAAGUAGAAGCAUGCACGCAGAAACAAAGGCAGAAAACUGCUUUGGGUGUUAGCACUGUUCUCUGUCACAAUAUAAUAAAGAAUACCUGCUGAUGGCAAUGGAUCAUUGAUUGUGAUCAGUUAUUGGGGUUUGGUUCCAUGAAACAGCCUGAGUUUUCAUCCCGGAACUAAAGCAACGUGGGCUCUAUCGGAUAAGAAGCUGACCCUUCUCACCAGCACUGCUAGUCCCGCACAACAAGGCUCUCUCCA
ensembl:lncRNA